UACGUAGGGGCGAGCGUUAUCCGGAAUUAUUGGGCGUAAAGGGUUCGCAGGCGGCCUUGUAAGUCAGAUGUGAAAGACAGCGGCUUAACCGUUGUAAGCAUUUGAAACUGCAGGGCUUGAGUACAGGAGAGGAAAGCGGAAUUCCUAGUGUAGCGGUGAAAUGCGUAGAUAUUAGGAGGAACACCAGUGGCGAAGGCGGCUUUCUGGACAGAUACUGACGCUGAGGAACGAAAGCGUGGGGAGCAAACAGGAUUAGAUAUCCGGGUAGUCCCU
rnacentral:rRNA from 1 species